rnacentral:tRNA from 1 species
UCCCUGGAGGACUAGUGGUUAGGCUUUAGUGCUCUCACUGCUACAGCUUGGGUUCGAUUCCUGGUCAGGGAA